rnacentral:rRNA from 1 species
AAAACGACUCUCGGCAAUGGAUAUCUAGGCUCUCGCAUCGAUGAAGAACGUAGCGAAAUGCAAUACUUGGUGUGAAUUGCAGAAUCCCGCGAAUCAUCGAGUUUUUGAACGCAAGUUGUGCCCGAAGCCAUUCGGCCGAGGGCACGUUUGCCUGGGUGUCACGC